rnacentral:lncRNA from 1 species
AAUAUGAGCUAACUGCCAUGAUAGGAAACUGCCCUUCACAGAUGGGCACUAUACAGCAGCCAGUCCCGUGAUGUUUAGACAUAUUUCUAUACUUUUCUUCUCUCUUCCAUUCAAUGAAAGGAACGGUUGGACAGAAAAAUGAACUAUGAUUUAAUGCCAGUUUACAGUGGGAGUUAUUUGUCUUAUUUUUCCCUGUGCCAGAUCAAUUAUGAAUUAUCACUGUGCCUGACAUGCUGAAGAGGGUGGCUGUCACCAUAAAAUGCAUGGCUACUGCAAGAACAUUUAAAGAGGAGUAUGUCAUUGGAUUAAAGGUCCAUCUGUGUAUGAUGAAUGUCAGUAUCCUGAUUUUUGGUGUUGGCCAAGAAUAUAUUUGUAGAAGGAAAAUGUGUCAGUUCUACAAUUGGACAAGGUCAUACCUUAUUAUCAUGGAUCUGUGA